CCGCGGGACCCGCGCGACGAAAACCCGCUAACCCCGUCAGGACCGGAAGGUAGCAGCGGCAUGUGGGAUCUUUCGGGUGCCGCGGUUCGCUCGUGGCCC
rnacentral:SRP_RNA from 1 species